UACGAAGGGGGCUAGCGUUGCUCGGAAUUACUGGGCGUAAAGCGCACGUAGGCGGUCUUUUAAGUCGGGGGUGAAAUCCUGGAGCUCAACUCCAGAACUGCCUUCGAUACUGGAAGACUUGAGUCCGGGAGAGGUGAGUGGAACUGCGAGUGUAGAGGUGAAAUUCGUAGAUAUUCGCAAGAACACCAGUGGCGAAGGCGGCUCACUGGCCCGGUACUGACGCUGGGGUGCGAAAGCGUGGGGAGCAAACAGG
rnacentral:rRNA from 1 species